GUCUAGUUGGAUUUGCUUGAACUUUUGCUGUUUAUAUACUUAUGGAUUUACUAAACAGCGACCGAUUUUAGGAUCGUGGAUAAUCGGACCUCAUUUACACGGUUUUUAGAAAGUAUUGUGAUUAGUUCAUUUGAGAUGUCCUAUUCCUAUUGUAGACGACUUACCUUAUGGACUCGUUUCCGACUGUGGAUUAGCAUCCAAUUCAAAAUAAAGACCAAAUUUGACAAGA